AUUGAACGCUGGCGGCAGGCCUAACACAUGCAAGUCGAACGAGUGGCGGACGGGUGAGUAAUGUCUGGGAAACUGCCUGAUGGAGGGGGCUAACUACUGGAACCGGUAGCUAAUACCGCAUACCAUCGGAUGUGCCCAGAUUGGAUUAGCUAGUAGGUGGGGUAAAGGCUCACCUAGGCGACGAUCCCUAGCUGGUCUGCGAGGAUGAACCGCCACACUGGAACUGAGACACGGCCCAGACUCCUACGGGAGGCAGCAGUGGGGAAUAUUGCGCAAUGGGCGAAAGCCUGAUGCAGCCAUGCCGCGUGUAUGAAGAAGGCCUUCGGGUUGUAAAGUACUUUCAGCGGGGAGGCGUUACCCGCAGAAGAAGCACCGGCUAACUCCGUGCCAGCCGCCGCGGUAAUAC
rnacentral:rRNA from 1 species